GAUGGUAGGAUAGAGGCCUACCAUGGUAGUAACGGGUAACGGGGAAUUAGGGUUCGAUUCCGGAGAGGGAGCCUGAGAAACGGCUACCACAUCCAAGGAAGGCAGCAGGCGCGCAAAUUACCCAAUCCCGACACGGGGAGGUAGUGACAAUAAAUAACAAUACAGGGUCCUUUCAGGUCUUGUAAUUGGAAUGAGUACAAUUUAAAUCUCUUAACGAGGAACAAUUGGAGGGCAAGUCUGGUGCCAGCAGCCGCGGUAAUUCCAGCUCCAAUAGCGUAUAUUAAAGUUGUUGCAGUUAAAAAGCUCGUAGUUGAAUUUUAGGCCUGGCCGGGCGGUCCGUCUUUGGCGAGUACYGUCCUGUGUCGGGUCUCACCUUCUGGUGAACCAGUAUGUCCUUUAUUGGGUGUKCCGGGGAGCCAGGACCAUUACCUUGAAAAAAUUAGAGUGUUUAAAGCAGGCAUUUGCUUGAAUAGAUUAGCAUGGAAUAAUAGAAUAGGACGUUGUGGUUCUAUUUUGUUGGUUUCUAGGACCACCGUAAUGAUUAAUAGGGAUAGUUGGGGGCAUUAGUAUUCAAUUGUCAGAGGUGAAAUUCUUGGAUUUAUUGAAGACUAACUAUUGCGAAAGCAUUUGCCAAGGAUGUUUUCAUUAAUCAAGAACGAAAGUUAGGGGAUCGAAGACGAUCAGAUACCGUCGUAGUCUUAACCAUAAACUAUGCCGACUAGGAAUCGGGCGACGUUAUUUUCAUGACUCGCUCGGCGCCUUAUGGGAAACCAAAGUGUUUGGGUUC
rnacentral:rRNA from 1 species